GUGCUUUAAAAGGAGGCACACCAGCGACCCCGACCUCAGCGACCCGACUGGUGCAGGUAUUUCAAAAUUUAUUGUAACUGUCAACUGUGUCAGUGUGAGUCAGACGGUUCGGGCGCAGGCAGGAGUCAUGUUUAGUCAGCGGAAAGGAGCACCAGACGGGCAGGUGGGGUUGCAGUGCAGCAGGACCGCCGCGGCGGCAGAGGACACAUGGCUGACCACUGGCGCUCCGCUCGUCCUCAGUCCAGGUGAAGGGCUUCGGUAGAGCAGUCAUUUCUCUGGAUGUGGAACCUUGUGGCUGUUCUUACUGUCUGUGGUGAGCUGGCUGUGGGGCGUUGCCUGCUGUUACGUGGCUUGUCUGUCCCUUCAGGACGCCCCCCGGACAAUGCUCGCGUACCUGCCUGGCUGUCACUACAGCUUCCGUCUGAAGCGCCUUCAGCGUGGCAUGGGGCCCGGGCCUCACGCCUAGGACGAGCUGUGAGUGGCGAGGCGGGCCCUCAGGGCGGCGGGCGAUCCCCAUCGGGCAAAUACCACCGCGGUUCAAGUUUUUGAAAAGAACUCCUCGAGGCGACGUGUCCGGCGCGAUGCAGCGCUGCCGAGCCCGGGCCUUGCGUGCCCUUUGCGCUUACUAUCGUGUUACUUGACCAUGUUCGGCUCGACGCUCAAAGUCUCUAAGUUGCAGGCGCGGGCCAAGAGGAGGCAGAAGCAUUAGCGACGACCCCCCCCCCCCCUCCCCUAUAAGGGCGGACGGCACCCAGGCAGACCAGCCCGAGCAUCGGCGAGCACGCAGGAGGUUUGCCGCUGGCGCCAGGAGGCGUGGAAGAGGGGCAGUCGACGCAGAGGUGCAGUCCACGCGACGUUAGCUGGAAGUGGGUGCUCUCCGUCCGCCAGUACACGACGCUCUGUAGGCCCAGUUCAUUCAGUUGUAACCCCUCGCCGGCGACGCCGUGCAACCAGCCCGAGCAGCGGGACAAAACUCUGCGUCGGCGGGUCUCAGCAGAGCAGGGGGCGGUAGCGGCCCGACACGGUUCCGCCGCUGGCGUCCGGUCGAGGCCCGGGUAAAGUGGGGCUUGUUGUCAACGAGUAUUUCUAUGGAUGUCUAACUUAGCGGCUAGAUGCUGUACCUUCCCAGGCUGUCGGGAUGCCCUUGCUGCGACGUGGCGCUCGUCCUUUCCCUUCAGGAUCACAGGGCCGGCCCUGUGAGACGAGUGCUUCGUACCCGUCCUGCUCUCCCUACGGCUCGCGACUCGCGCCUUCAGCGCAGCGUGCGGGCCGGCCCGCGCGCAGGGGCGCGGCUGUACGUGGAGCGGGGGCGGGGCAGCUGGGCGCCUCACGGGCAUAUACCAUCGGUAGCAGAGUUGUUAAAAAGGGUACCUCGGUGUAGAUGUCCGGCUGAAAUAGGAGUUCGCCAAUAGCCCUUUCCCUUAUGUUAUACUUGAUUUGUCUUCUCGUCUCGUUGCUAAAAAUUCUUUCUAGUUUCGGCCAGGCAUGCUGCAGCAGGGCGAGUACCCAGGACCGCGCCGUUCCCGUCGCCGUGGACAGCGCUCUGACGUCGGCCCAGAGGACUCGUCGGCGCUGGAGUCCCACGCUGCCCCCGCUCUCGGCGCCGCCCCUAGGCCCUGCCGCGCGCAGAGCGAGGGGGUCGCAUCGAGACCUCUCCCUCCGAGCUGCAGAUCCGCGGGCGAAAGUGUUGGGUGAGCCAUCCUGCAGCGGAGGCUAGCGGGACGGAGGGGCACAGCCGGGCGCGGCGAAGGCGCGGGCUCGCCAGGAGGCGCCAGGACGCGGUGCUCACCACCAUCGUGGGACUUCCCCGGCGCACACCAAGGUAGUAUAUCUGUUUAGUUUACACCCAGUUUGGCCUUUCUAUUUAUCCAACGUUUUCUUUUGAAGCGAUCGCGGCAGCAGGAGGCGGCAGCAGGAGGCGGCAGCAGGAGGCGGCAGCAGGAGGCGGCAGCAGGAGGCGGCAGCAGGAGGCGGCAGCAGGAGGCGGCAGGACGCAGCAGCAUGUUAUUAGUGUAUGUGGUGUGGUUCAUGUGGUGUGUGGU